rnacentral:lncRNA from 10 species
UGGACCACUGGGCUGGGACCCACGACCCCACCACCACGCCUGGAGGACGCGCAGCGGCGCCUCGGCCUUGGAAGGGGAGUUUCCCAGCGCGAGCCCCGCCCUUCCCCGCCCGGGAGGCGCCUCGGGGCGGGGUCACUGGCCGGGAGGCCCCGCCUUCCGCCCGAAAGCGCCGGUGCACCCCGCAGGCCCUGCCCGUGGGUCCACAGGCCGGAUCCCCGGGUUCCUAGGCUGGGACUGCUUCUCAGAACCACUCUGUCGUUUUUAAGCAGGGUCACACACUCUAGCUCACUGGGUCCAUUUUAAUUUCUAUUAAACAUUUUUUUUUUUUUGCAAAUGAUGUAGUAGGAGAUCCAAGGUGUUUGGUUAAUGAUUUAUUCACUCAUUAGUCAUUCCACAAACUUGUCUUGAGCACCUGUUAUGUACCCAGCACUGUGCUGGAAUGCUGAGGAGACAGGAGUGAAGUAAAAAGACAUGGUUCCGGCAGGAAACAGGCAAGGAGAGCCUUGACUUGACGGAGUCUGGCUAUAUCGCCAGGCUGGAAUGCAAUGGCGCGAUCUCUCCUCACUGCAACCUCCGCCUCCCGGGUUCAAGCGAUUCUCCUGCCUCAGCACCUCGAGUAGCUGGGACUACAGGCGCGCGCCACCACGCCCAGUAAGAGGAAAUAACUCUACAUUCAAAUUUGAGCAGGGCACUUGGUGACCUACUUAGACAUGACAUUCCUUGGCCUCCCUUUCAGCAAGAUGAGAAAACUGAGGCACAGAGAGGUGAAAUAAGGCCCCCAGAAUGCUCUUCUCCAAGACUUAGAAAAAUCAAAUGCUAUCCAUCCCUCAAGAUACAUCCCUCCAGCCCCUCCUUGAAGUCUCCUGCAGCUAGAAGUAGAAGUAGCAUCUAUCCCCAUCUGGACUCCUUAGCACUUUGCUGUACCUGCCUUAGUCCCCAUCUCUUUACACACACACACACACACACACACACACACACAGAGUAUUAUAAUACUAUUACCUAUUAUAUUACAUUAUAUUAUUGUAGUUCUACAGGAACUACAAGGAAUUCUACUGUGAAUUCCUUAAGGGUGGGAUACAUUUUACAAUCAUCACUGUUUCUCUCAUUAGUUGUGGAAUCAAAAAAAUGAGUGCACGAUGAAAAAUUAUUCAAACACAUACAUGCUUUCAUUCCAAUUGAAAAUGUAAAAAUAUUACUGUUAAAACAAUAUUAAAGGACAUGUAAUACAAUUCAAAUAUUCCUACCAUGCACGAUUGUUUUCACUUCUUUGUGCCUCUUUCACCAUUUAUUUGUGUGCAUACUCAGCAUAUUUGUUUGUGUAACAGGAUGUUAAAAAUAGAAUUUGUUGCCUGUAGUUUUUGCUAAAGCUCUACUAGACUGGAACAGAACAAUAGGUGGUAAAUACUCCAUUCCUCAGUGAGAUGCUACCUACCUAUGCAGAGCUGGAAAAGAUUUUGCAACCUGAAAACCCAAUCCUUUCUGAGAUAUAAAAGAACAGAAGAGUCUGGAAGUGAUUUCUUCGGAGAAAUUCAUUUUCUGUGAGUCUCACUCCUAAUCCCCUAUGAGAUAUCUGGGGGUGAAGGGCAGGUGCUGUUCCACACAGAGAGCUUGAUCCGUGCAUCUUGGAAGAGGGAGGUAGGUAGGGAACAGGGUGGGCUGCUUUGGGACCCAUGCCUUAAAACUCAGGUACUGGGGCUGGCUGGUUCUAAUGGCCAAGAGGUGAGAGGUGCACCUGUGGGGAACAACCUUCACUCUCAGUUUGUCAGGAUAGAGGAUAUGAGUCUUGCCCUGAGGAUGGGAUGUAGACUACAAGGGCAAGAGAGUCAGCUUAAAGAAAUCUGUAGAACUAUCUGCCAGGACUGAGGUGACCAUAGCAGAGAGAUGUUGGAGGUAUUCUGUUGGGAACAAGAUGGUGUGAGGUAAAGAUUGUAUUUGAUACCUGCUGGAGAAGAGAUCUUGCAUUAAGGCCAGCAUUAAGAGAACUUCAGAUGAGAAAUCCCUGGUGAAGCAGAGUCUCCAAAGAAUGCAUAAGAGCUCUGCAGUGAGAAAGAGAUCACCUGAAUACCUUCCAAAAUCAAAGCGUGGCAGUGACCAGCUAAGCAGAUCUUUCCUGUCUUCUACCUGGAAGGGCCUGAAACUGCAAUUCAUGAGUUUGGGGAAGGCAGAGAGGCACAAAGUGGGGAAAUGGAAAAGUUGACUAUGUCCGCUUUCCUACUGCAGUAUUCCAGAGAAGAAACUUCAAGCUCAGAAUAUUGGCUACUACCUGUGAUAAACAUUUAAAUUAUUGGAACGAGAGAGUUUUUAUAACUAAAUUUGAAAGAAGCAAUUUUUUUUAUCAAAGACCAACCCGAAGAUUCAUGACCACUACCUGUGAUUUCAUCCAUGUUGCAAGGAAAAUCCUGCCCCACUUCCCCAAUAGGAAGAGUGGUGGGGGAAUAAUAAAGUUGUUUUAUGAUGCAUCCUGUGGACUUCUACUCGACAGAAUGGUAACAUUCAACUGUAAUCAGGAUGAGCAAGCCACUUUAUUAAACUAAAAUUUUAAACUUUAAUAAAUAUAAUACAAACUGAAAAAUAAAAAUAAUUUUUCAACUCUACACAAGUAUGUUAACUGCAUAAACAGUGAGAUGUUACACAGGGCUGAGGCCUAUACUUCUUCAGUUUGUACAUUAAACGUCUCCAUGGAGGGUCAAUUGCAUCCUACCUAUUCUGACAGUUAUCAGGUAGCGAGAGAUUUGAGGAAGAGGCGCUUUUCUAAUCUGGGGUAGGAAAAGGAAUGAUACCAUGUAUCAUGAGAAGUAUUUGCACAUAGUGUGUCAAUUAAGCAAGUGCUCAGACUAUUAACAACAUUACUAUGUGAUGAAUGUUUAUACAGUGGAUUCAAAAAUAAGCUUCUUUCCAGAAAGCAGCUUAGUUUUCAUUAAUUAUUACCAGCAUCUUGGUAAUUAUUUAUUUAAUGGUUUAAAAGUUAAAGUUUCAAUCUAUAUUUGUUUUUUUAACAUCAGCCAAGGAAAUACAUGUCUGUUAUACUGCAUCUUUGGAAGUAUGCAAUAAGUGUAACUAUUGAAUCUAUAUUGAAGAGCCACAAGACACUGAAUUUAAUUGGACGAGACUAUUUUAUUUAGGAAGACAAUCAUCUCCUGUGAUCAGCUUAAGGUUUUUGUUUUGUUUUAUCUGGAACAAGCUAAGUUCAUAUUUAGAAAAUAAAGUUAGUUUUUUGGGUGCAUGAGUUUUAGAGUAAAUUAGUAAUUUAGUAAACUUUGACAUUUCCACUUUGUCUCCAAACACAUUUAAAUUCUAUCUGUCUGACUGAAGUUCUAAGGCAUUCUGUGGUUACUUAGAAAUGAUUCCUUAUAUUAAUGUUUACAAAUGCUAAAUUGUAUUUGUUAAAUACAUGUCUUAUUGCCUAAGAGUUUUCCUUUCUUAUAAGUUUAAUAUAAAUGUCUAGGAAAUAAGACUCCCAUUUAAUAGCUUAUAAAGAAUGCUGAUGUAUCAGCAGUGGCCUUGACAUUAUUGGAUACAAGUAAGAUCUACACUGAUGAUUAAAUCAAAUUGGCUAAGAUUAUUCGUUCUAAUAAAAGCACUGACUCCAUGAAGUUUUCUUGUGGCUGAAAUUAACAUUCGUGUUCCUACAAGCUCUUUAAAAUCUUAGUUACUGAAAAUUAUUCCUUUUGACCUAAUUUUUUCUUUACUUUGGAUGUAUUUGACAAGGUAGAGGUUAGGGAUUGGAGAGUAUGUAAAGAAUGAAAUAAAAUGUAGUCACUUUUAACUAUAUCCACAUA